GACGGAGGAUGCAAGUGUUAUCCGGAAUCACUGGGCGUAAAGCGUCUGUAGGUGGUUUAAAAAGUCUACUGUUAAAGCUUGAAGCUUAACUUCAAAAAUGCCGUAGAAACUUUUAAACUUGAGUAUGGUAGGGGUAGAGGGAAUUUCCAGUGGAGCGGUGAAAUGCGUAGAUAUGCGGAGGAACACCAAUGGCGAAGGCAAUCCCCUGGGCCUGUACUGACGCUCAUGCACGAAAGCGUGGGGAGCAAACAGG
rnacentral:rRNA from 1 species